AUGAGUGCUCAUCUCUACAACUAAAUUAGAAUAGACCAGAAUGACUGUUACCGUCUAAACUGCAAGCACAUUUCUGUGCCAGGAAAUUCAAAGCUUAUAGAAAUCUCCAAUGAAAUGGGCAGAUUGAUAAUCUGUGUGAGUACCAACCUGAAGUCAGAGUAAGUCUUAUCUUUUAAUACUGUACAUGCUAGUAUUUCUCAGCUAUCACAUAUCCAUAUCCCAGUAAACAGGCUACUGAACACCAGGACACAUUAACCUCGGCUUACAGGUUGGAUUUGAACAGAAACAAUUAUUGCAAGACAUGACAGAUUUUCCUGCAUUCUGAGGUUUAGAGAGGGCUUGAAGUAAUUUUGAUUCAUUUCUUUUGGGAAAGAGAGUGCAAAGUGAAGCAAAACUAAAAGCACGUGGAAAUAAACAUUCCAAUAGAAAUGACUGGAUUCCAGAUGGCAUAGCAUUAGGAGUUCUCCAAAUAAAGAGAAGAAGAAGACAAAAUAUUCAAGUUCAUUGCUGGUUUCCUGGACUAAUAAAUCUACUACAUCAUUAAUAUCUCUCUUA